GAUGAACGCUGGCGGCGUGCCUAAUACAUGCAAGUCGAGCGAACGGACGAGAAGCUUGCUUCUAUGAUGUUAUCGGCGGACGGGUGAGUAACACGUGGAUAACCUACCUAUAAGACUGGGAUAACUUCGGGAAACCGGAGCUAAUACCGGAUAAUAUUUUGAACCGCAUGGUUCAAAAGUGAAAGACGGUCUUGCUGUCACUUAUAGAUGGAUCCGCGCUGCAUUAGCUAGUUGGUAAGGUAACGGCUUACCAAGGCAACGAUGCAUAGCCGACCUGAGAGGGUGAUCGGCCACACUGGAACUGAGACACGGUCCAGACUCCUACGGGAGGCAGCAGUAGGGAAUCUUCCGCAAUGGGCGAAAGCCUGACGGAGCAACGCCGCGUGAGUGAUGAAGGUCUUCGGAUCGUAAAACUCUGUUAUUAGGGAAGAACAUAUGUGUAAGUAACUGUGCACAUCUUGACGGUACCUAAUCAGAAAGCCACGGCUAACUACGUG
rnacentral:rRNA from 1 species